rnacentral:rRNA from 1 species
AUUGAGCGCUGGCGGCAUGCUUAACACAUGCAAGUCGAACGGUAACAGGCCCUUCGGGGUGCUGACGAGUGGCGGACGGGUGAGUAAUGCUUAGGAAUCUGCCUAGUAGUGGGGGAUAACCCGGGGAAACUCGGGCUAAUACCGCAUACGCCUACGGGGAAGGACGGGGACGUCUCGGCCGUCGCGCUACUAGAUGAGCCUAAGUCCGA